GACGAACGCUGGCGGCGUGCUUAACACAUGCAAGUCGAACGGAAAGGCCCUGCGUUUGUUGGGUGCUCGUGUGGCGAACGGGUGAGUAACACGUGUGUAUCCUGCCCCUGUCAGUGGGAUAACUUCAGGAAACACGGGCUAAUACCGGAUAGGAGCUCCUGCUGCAUGGGGGGGGAUGGAAAGUUUCGGCGGUUGUGGCUGGACUCGCGGCUUAUCAGCUUCUUGGUGUGGUAGUGGCUUACCAAGGCUUUGACGGGUAGCCGGCCUGAGAGGGUGAACGGCGACAAUGGGACUGAGAUACGGCCCAGACGCGUACGGGAGGCAGCAGUGGGGAGUAUUGCACAAUGGGCGGGAGCCUGAUGCAGCAACGCCGGGUGCGGGAUGACGGGCUUCGGGUUGUAAACCGAUGUCGCCUGUGACGAGGCGUGAGUGACGGUAAUGGGUAAAGAAGCACCGGCUAACUACGUG
rnacentral:rRNA from 1 species